rnacentral:rRNA from 1 species
UUGAUCCUGGCUCAGAAUCAACGCUGGCGGCGUGCCUCAGACAUGCAAGUCGAACGAUUAAAGCUUCCUUCGGGAAGUGCAUAAAGUGGCGCACGGGUGUGUAACACGUAAGUAAUCUACCCUCGAGUGGGGAAUAACAUCGGGAAACCUAUGCUAAUACCGCAUGAUGCAGCGGCACCGCAAGGUGACAGUUGUUAAAUAUUUAUCGCUUGGGGAGGAGCUUGCGGCAGAUUAGCUUGUUGGUAAGGUUAUGGCUUACCAAGGCAACGAUCUGUAACCGGUCUAAGAGGACGGUCGGUUACACUGACACUGAAUAACGGGUCAGACUCCUACGGGAGGCAGCAGUCGGUAAUUUUGGGCAAUGGGGGAAACCCUGACCCAGCAACGCCGCGUGAAGGAUGAAGUAUUUCGGUAUGUAAACUUCGAAAGAAUAGGAAGAAUUAAUGACGUUACUAUUUAUAAGGUCCGGCUAACUACGUGCCAGCAGCCGCGGUAAUAAUU